AUCGCUUCAUGGCCUUUUUGCUAAGAUCUAGUGCAGUAUCUGUUCUUAUUAGUUUAAGUUUAAAAAAAACAUGGAGGCAUCCAUGCACAGUCAACCUUUAGAAAAAAUAUUUCCUGAUACUAAAGUAUUGGGAGAACUACCUCUUAAUUUUUAUAAAUUUGGGUCAAAAUCCAU
ensembl:snRNA U2 U2 spliceosomal RNA